rnacentral:lncRNA from 1 species
UUUAUCAAGACAUGCAGAUUUUCCAUAGCAAGGAGUAAUGCUCUUUUUUUCCUUGCUUACCUUACAGGCACGGAUGGUAGACAGCCUUUCUCCUUGCAAGCAGAGGAAAAUACAGAAAUUGGAGCAGCAGAAUAUAACAUGAAAAGCUGUAGCAGUAGAAAAAGGCCAGCUGGUUCAACAUGCCAGUCCUUUUAAAGCAGAGCCAGAAAAAGAAGGAGGCUACAGAUCACUUAGACUAUGAUCAGUAUAACAGGGCAGCUGAUCAGAGGGAUGCAGCCUUUAGAACAAUGUUAGCUCUUGCAGACCCAGGAAGCAGAAUGGUAUUUUUCAAACUGAAGAUUUUGCUUCCAUUGUAACAGAUCAAACCAUCAUUUGGACCAGCAGUUCCCAUCCUCUCUCAGCCUGGUAAGCUGUUGUACAUUUAUUUUGGUGCGAGAUCUCUUCUAAAUGGGUUGCUGUAGCAUACAUCCACGUCCUGUUGUACAGAUAUCCCUUCCUCGCUUUUGUAAAAUAGAGAGAGUCUUAACUGUUCCUUUUUAUUAUCAGGAACAAAUACUUGGAUUUUAGCAAAAAUUAUUGAGGAAAAAAACAAGCAGACUUCUGACCCUUUGCUUGCAUCUCCUAGGGAUAUCACAAAAAUGCCUGCUAUAGACGUAUGCCACACUACUGUGACAUUUACUAUACUUCCUCAAUUUGCCAUUGCCUUUAAGUAUACACCGUACCACCUUGGUGUUCAGAACUUGUAGUCUAAUUGUGCAUGCAAUAUCGAUGCUUAAUGAAUAGCAUGGCAAUAGAAUGGCCAUACUAUUCAUUAAGGAUUCAGAAUUUAUACAGGGGUCCUCUUCUAGCUCCUGGGGGCAGGAGAAGGAUGAAAACAUGAGACAUUAUUAAACCUUGUAAGACUGCCACCCCUUGCCUCUGGCAGACUCGGGAGUGGGACUUAGCCUUUACAGGGAGGUUAUCAUCCAUAAUACAUAUUUACGCUCUGUCCAUCGUGUAUAAGAAUGCUCUCAGUAAAACUUAGAAAAGGCUAUAAUAAUACUUUGCACUUCUUUGUUGCCUUUCAUCACAAGAUUUCAUUGUGCCUUUAAAAGCUUUCAUUAACUAAAAUUCACAACCCCAUUGUGCAGUAACUGUGCAU